UAAUACGUAGGUGGCAAGCGUUGUCCGGAUUUACUGGGCGUAAAGAGCGCGCAGGCGGUCGUUCAAGUCGCGUGUGAAAGCCCCCGGCUCAACUGGGGAGGGUCACGCGAUACUGAUCGACUCGAAGGCAGGAGAGGGAAGUGGAAUUCCCGGUGUAGUGGUGAAAUGCGUAGAUAUCGGGAGGAACACCAGUGGCGAAGGCGACUUCCUGGCCUGUUCUUGACGCUGAGGCGCGAAAGCUAGGGGAGCAAACGGGAUUAGAUACCCCGGUAGUCCUAGCCGUAAACGAUGGACACUAGGUGUUGGUGGUAUCAACCCCGCCAGUGCCGAAGCUAACGCAUUAAGUGUCCCGCCUGGGGAGUACGGCCGCAAGGCUA
rnacentral:rRNA from 1 species